rnacentral:rRNA from 1 species
AUUGAACGCUGGCGGCAUGCCUUACACAUGCAAGUCGAACGGUAACGGGCCUUCGGGUGCCGACGAGUGGCGAACGGGUGAGUAAUACAUCGGAACGUGCCCGAUCGUGGGGGAUAACGAGGCGAAAGCUUUGCUAAUACCGCAUACGAUCUACGGAUGAAAGCAGGGGACCGCAAGGCCUUGCGCGGACGGAGCGGCCGAUGGCAGAUUAGGUAGUUGGUGGGAUAAAAGCUUACCAAGCGGACGAUCUGUAGCUGGUCUGAGAGGAUGAUCAGCCACACUGGGACGGAGACACGGCCCAGACUCCUACGGGAGGCAGCAGUGGGGAAUUUUGGACAAUGGGCGCAAGCCUGAUCCAGCCAUGCCGCGUGCAGGAUGAAGGCCUUCGGGUUGUAAACUGCUUUUGUACGGAACGAAAAGCCUUCUUUUAAUACAGGAGGGUCAUGACGGUACCGUAAGAAUAAGCACCGGCUAACUACGUGC